GAUGAACGCUAGCGGCAGGCCUAAUACAUGCAAGUCGAGGGGUAGAAGAGGCUUGCUUCUUUGAGACCGGCGCACGGGUGCGUAACGCGUAUGCAACCUACCUUCAUCUGGGGGAUAGCCCGGAGAAAUCCGGAUUAAUACCGCAUAAAAUCACAGGAUGGCAUUAUCCAAUGAUCAAACAUUUAUGGGAUGGAGAUGGGCAUGCGUGUCAUUAGCUAGUUGGCGGGGUAACGGCCCACCAAGGCGACGAUGACGAGGGGAUCUGCGGGGAUGGCCCCCCACACGGGAACGGAGACACGUACCAAAAUCCUACGGGAGGCAGAAGUAAGUAAUAUUGGUCAAUGGAGGCAACUCUGAACCAGCCAUGCCGCGUGCAGGAAGACUGCCCUAUGGGUUGUAAACUGCUUUUAUUCGGGAAUAAACCUUAUUACGUGUAAUAAGCUGAAUGUACCGAAGGAAUAAGGAUCGGCUAACUCCGUGCCAGCAGCCGCCGUAA
rnacentral:rRNA from 1 species